rnacentral:rRNA from 1 species
GAUGAACGCUGGCGGCGUGCCUAAUACAUGCAAGUCGAGCGAACGGACGAGACGCUUGCUUCUCUGAUGUUAGCGGCGGACGGGUGAGUAAUACGUGGCUAACCUACCUAUAAGACUGGGAUAACUUCGGGAAACCGGAGCUAAUACCGGAUAAUAUUUUGAACCGCAUGGUUCAAAAGUGAAAGAAGGUCUUGCUGACACUUAUAGAUGGAUCCGCGCUGCAUUAGCUAGUUGGUAAGGUAACGGCUUACCAAGGCAACGAUGCAUAGCCGACCUGAGAGGGUGAUCGGCCACACUGGAACUGAGACACGGUCCAGACUCCUACGGGAGGCAGCAGUAGGGAAUCUUCCGCAAUGGGCGAAAGCCUGACGGAGCAACGCCGCGUGAGUGAUGAAGGUCUUCGGAUCGUAAAACUCUGUUAUUAGGGAAGAACAUAUGUGUAAGUAACUGUGCACAUCUUGACGGUACCUAAUCAGAAAGCCACGGCUAACUACGUG